UACAGAGGUCCCAAGCGUUGUUCGGAUUCACUGGGCGUAAAGGGUGCGUAGGUGGUGGGGUAAGUCGGAUGUGAAAGCUCGGAGCUCAACUCCGAAAUGGCAUUGGAAACUACCCUGCUAGAGGAUUGGAGGGGGGACUGGAAUACUUGGUGUAGCAGUGAAAUGCGUAGAGAUCAAGAGGAACACUCGUGGCGAAAGCGAGCUACUGGACAAUUCCUGACGCUGAGGCUCGAAGGCUAGGGUAGCGAAAGGG
rnacentral:rRNA from 1 species